AUUGAACGCUGGCGGCAGGCCCAACACAUGCAAGUCGAGCGGAUGAAGGGAGCUUGCUCCUGGAUUCAGCGGCGGACGGGUGAGUAAUGCCUAGGAAUCUGCCUGGUAGUGGGGGAUAACGUCCGGAAACGGGCGCUAAUACCGCAUACGUCCUGAGGGAGAAAGUGGGGGAUCUUCGGACCUCACGCUAUCAGAUGAGCCUAGGUCGGAUUAGCUAGUUGGUGGGGUAAAGGCCUACCAAGGCGACGAUCCGUAACUGGUCUGAGAGGAUGAUCAGUCACACUGGAACUGAGACACGGUCCAGACUCCUACGGGAGGCAGCAGUGGGGAAUAUUGGACAAUGGGCGAAAGCCUGAUCCAGCCAUGCCGCGUGUGUGAAGAAGGUCUUCGGAUUGUAAAGCACUUUAAGUUGGGAGGAAGGGCAGUAAGUUAAUACCUUGCUGUCUUGACGUUACCGACAGAAUAAGCACCGGCUAUCUUCGU
rnacentral:rRNA from 1 species